UGAUCAGUAAUCUUAAACCAAAUAUCAACCUCAUGCAAAUUUGAUGUUCUGAAAUCCGAUUGUUGGAUUCAACUAUCAAAUUUACAACCACAACCUAACCGUAAUUAACUACUGAAAACGUCGAUCACUUUUACCCUGUUUUCACAACUACAAAAUCAAAUCAAGCAUUCUCUCAUAAUACACAGUCCGCUCAUUACAAACUGUGAGGGAUUCCAUUCACUAGCUUUCAUAUACAUCUAUGUAUGAAUACAAUUAAACUACCAUAAGGUCAAACAAAUUAAAAUCACAUUAAACAUAAUCCAACUUUUUUCAUUUCUUCAAUUACUGCUACAUGUUGACUGUUUCAAUCAUUCUACAUCAAUCUAGAUUUGAAGGCAAAUACCUGGAAAUAGAGUAAGAAUGGUGGAGAAAAGUCAACCAAAACAGUGAUAGUGCAGCAUCAAUAAUGAAUAUGUUCUAGCAAAUUUGAGUGACUAACGACCAGGAAUAGAUUCAGAAAAACCAGGGACAUUCAACUAUCAAGCAGCAGUUAACAAACACUCAAAAUGUACCCAAGUAAUCUCGAAAAGUAUCCAGACCCUUAAACAAUCCCAAAAUCUACCCAAAACCAGUUCAAACAACCCAAAAUUGCUCAAAAUUUACGUACUGCACGCCUAGAAUUUCAGGAUCCAAGUGCUGCCCUAGGGGAAAGGAAAUCAGCAACUAACAACCAGAAUUAACUUGAAUUCCCUUAUGGAACAGUACUUUUUGCUUUUUCUGAAGAUUUUUCUUUUGUUUUUUUUUUGUUUUUGAAUAUUAAAAUUCAAAUCUUGAUAUGAAAUUGAGGAAUUCUUUUGGUGGGAAUUGGAUGGCUGAAGCUAACCCCAUUCAAGGCAUUUUGAUGCCUUUUUAUAAGCAACCAAGAAUGGGUAUAGUGUUUCCUUUAGGUCCUUGUUAAUUUUCAGCCAUUAACCCUUAUUUCAUGACUUGUAACUGAAGUCACCCCUUAUUUCUACUGAAAUGUACUAUAACACCCACACCUAGAAGCUUCUAGGAAAUUCUUAGCUAGAUUCCAUACCCUAAAUUACCCCAACUACCCUCAACUUAUCCUAAAAUUACUAAAGUAGAACAAUUAUAUCCAAACAAAUACCAGGGUCUGAACUUUCAACUAGAAAAAGUAAUCAUAAUUCAACUAUUAACUAACCUAUCUACUGAAACCAUUUAAACAACAACAAUCAUCAAAACUAAUUACAAAUUAAAAUUUAAUCAGACUUAACAACCAUUCAAACAAUUAUUAACUAAACAGAAUUACAAUUGAGAUUAAGAAUGAUUAUUCAAAUAGCCAAAUUGAAACAAAUCUAACGAAUAACCAAUUAAUCACCUAAAACUAAAACGAAUCAAGCAGAUAGGGAUCAAAAAGAUAAAACAACAAUAAAGAAAAGUCACUAAUUACGGACUAACAAUUAUUACCAAACAAAGUUAAGAAGCUAUAUAAUCCUGGGAGGUCAGUGAACAUAAAAAAAAAUAAAAAAAUAAAAAGGAAAUAAACUCGAAAACUCACUGACUCCCUUCGAGACUCCGGUCAAAUUUCCAAAUUCGAACACGAACAACUCCAGUAGAAACAAAGCUCGAUUGAUGACCAAUUCACUGCGAGGAAGGUUAGAGGGUCAUUUGGUAUCAAAUUGGUGAGGUUUAGGGCAGUUAAGGUUUGGCCAGAAAAUCUUUGAAGCCAAAUUCGAGGAGUUACCGUGGGAUUCGAAGAAAACCAAUUGGUGCUUUGGGAUGAGGGUGGUGAGGAGAAUCUAUAGUGUUGAUUUGAAAGGAUUGGAUGAAGUAGCAUCGUGGCCGGAAAACUUCCAACGAAGAUUCGACGAGCUCCGACAAGAUUCGAUGGAAACCAAAGGUAGGUAUGGAAGGAGGGGAACGAUGAACAUUGGUGGUGUAAUUUUGGGGUCGUUUGGAGGUGGUGGCGUUCACCGCCGUCGGCGGCUCUGGCGGAGAUCCAGAGAGUGCUACGAGAAGGAUGACACGGUCUCUAGGUUU
rnacentral:lncRNA from 1 species